GCUUUACUGUCAUAUUGGAGAUACUGGAGAUAUGGUGAAACACAGGACAAGUGUGCGAUCUACGAAACAUAGAGUAUGUGUUCGUCGGAGGACCAUUGGUGGUGCUACCAAAGUUUCUGUUUUGAGAAACGUUUCACAUCCACCUGUAACUGUGGAUGUUACACCUGUCACCACCACAUCAUCUCUGGAUGAACAUUCAGAGGCAGAACCAAGCAGCAGUUUGCAUGUCCGAGACUGCUUACACAAAAGCAAAGAAGAAGGAGCUCAGGGCCUGGGACUCAUUGAAAGAGGAUAUGCUGCGGGUAUCUUAUGAGUCAUCAGCACCAUCUACAAAUAUCUGUGCUCUCUGCAAAGAGCAUGCAGAGUAUAGGUGCCUUGAGUGCAGCAGUACUAAUAUGUUUUGUGAGACCUGUAUCACAAAAACCCACCGCAAUUCCUUGCACCUACCAGAGAAAUGGAAUAAAACAUUGUAUGUGACAUCUCCGCUUGAAUUAGCACUACGCUUACCAGGAGAACAUUGUUCUCAUGCUGUGUACGCAAGAGAUAUGAAAAUAUUUGUGAACACAGGCCAGCUGUGCAGCUUCAGCGUGACUCUUUGUACAUGUGAACCAGAAACUUGCACCCUGCUCAGAUAUGGAAUCUGGCCUGCGACACCAGAGAGGCCUCAAACAGCGUUCUCUAUAGCUCUUUUGGAGCUUUUUCAUUAUCUGUCCAUGGAAUGCCAGGUGUCUGUUGAGGGAUUCUGCAAUAUGUUGCGGUGGAAAAACAAUCUGUCUCUUUUAGAGGUUAACAUGCUCUACAGAGCUCUGGUGGGAGAAUCUAUAUCCCAGUUUCGCCACCACCACUUUAGAUGCAGAAGUUUAUCUGGUCUUUGUCCCUCAUUUGAUGAUGGAACAACAUGCCCAGUAUGUCCUAAGAGUAACGGCAAUCUGAUUGUAACAAUGGAUGCCAACUUUGGCCUUGUUCGAAAAAGAAGUUCAGGAAGUAGUUUGGUGGAGCCGUUGCAUGGUAACAGAAUGUUUGUGAGGGAAGAAGAUGUGCAAGAAUACCUGUCAUCCCAUCCUGAUGGUUCCAAGCCAAAUGAAAAAAAAGCAGAAGCAAUGCAACAAGGCGUAUCUCUGGCUGUUCCAGCAUUCAUGUUUUUUGGUCAUAAAUUACAGUGUCAGGUUCUGUACAGUACGAGAAGAUUAAAAGGCUUUGGGCUAACAGAUGGAGAAGGUAUGGAGAGGUUAUGGUCCUUCCUUAGAAGAUUUGCUCGUAUCACAAAGAGAUGAGUCCAUCCCACCGGCUUGACCUCUUGACUGAAGCACUUCUUUAUUAUGGGAGGAGAAAAACAGCGGAUAUAGAAGUGCAGCUCCAUCACAGAUGGGAAAAAGCAGAGAAGGUCACUAAUCUAGCUAAAGAGGAGUUAGCUGCUGUCUUAAAAGAGGCACCAGACAGUGUUCCCAAAUGGAAGAGGGUGUAUGUGACAACGCUGAUUGAGCUCCAGCACCUCAAAUCAUGUGAUCAUGAUUCAGCUGUUGCAGAUGAGAAAAAGAUUGAAUCUUGUCUUCAAAAAAUUGAAAGACAGUACCAUAUAACAAGAAGAUGGAAUCAGUCAGAUUCGAUAUUCCAGUCAACACUGUUAGAGCUCGACCAGGACAUUCGAGGUAAACUGGUCAUGCAGGCACGAACUGAGGCAAGGGGAAAGACUUACACUUCUUCACUUGAAGCGGAAAUACCCAGAUGGACAGGGAAUUGCUGUCAGAUUGUCUAA
rnacentral:lncRNA from 1 species